UACGUAGGGCGCAAGCGUUGUCCGGAAUUAUUGGGCGUAAAGAGCUCGUAGGCGGUCUGUCGCGUCUGCCGUGAAAACCCGAGGCUUAACCCUGGGCUUGCAGUGGAUACGGGUAGACUAGAGGCAGGUAGGGGAGAAUGGAAUUCCCGGUGUAGCGGUGAAAUGCGCAGAUAUCGGGAGGAACACCGGUGGCGAAGGCGGUUCUCUGGGCCUGACCUGACGCUGAGGAGCGAAAGCGUGGGGAGCGAACAGG
rnacentral:rRNA from 1 species